ACGCUGGCGGCGUGCCUUAAACACAUGCAAAGUCAACUUGACUGAAGGAGCAAUCUGACAGUAGAGUGGCGCAAGGGUGCGUAACGCGUAAGUAACUUGCCCAAGGUAAGGAAUAACGUCGAGAAAUCGGCGCUAAUACCUCAUAAUGCAGCGGAUCCGCAUGGAUAUGUUGUUAAAGGUUUACCGCCUUGGGAUAGGCUUGCGUCUGAUUAGCUAGUUGGUGUGGUAACGGCACACCAAGGCUACGAUCAGUAACUGGUCUGAGAGGAUGAUCAGUCACACUGGAACUGAGACACGGUCCAGACUCCUACGGGAGGCAGCAGUGAGGAAUAUUGGGCAAUGCUCGAAAGAGUGACCCAGCAACGCCGCGUGGAGGAUGAAGGUAUUCUAUAUCGUAAACUCCUGUGAGAGCAGACGAAAGACAGAUUAUUAAUCUGGAUGACUGUAUGCUCAGAGGAAGCCCCGGCUAACUACGUG
rnacentral:rRNA from 1 species